AAUGAUAGUGAUUCUUCAGUGUAACUUUUAUUUUGUAAACAUUUGUUACUAAAAUUUUUUACAAUUAAAGGAAUAUUUAAUUUCUUUCGUAUUAACAUUUUAAAUACUUAUAUUUCAAUUAUGUGUUUCACAUUUGUGAAUUCUUACGUUUUUUUCCGUCUUCAAAGUAAAGUAAAAUGUCAGCUACGUUAGCGACAUACCACGGUGGGGAUGGUGAUGGCAGGGAUCCCCCUGAUCCUUCUAGGGUACCGUCGUCUUGCGAAGCAGUUCCACCUCCGGUCAGAAAGGGUCGUGGGGUUGCCGCAAACGCUAAUCUCGAAAAAAAAAGGAGAGAAGCUGGUAAGCCCUUACCGGUGGAGGUAGAUCUUGAAACCGGCAAAGUAGUUGGCACUGAAGCCAGCAAUUAUGUUCGAUUUCUUGGCCAACAAGUGAGCAUGUUGUGCCGGGUGGUCAUCUAAAUUUUUCCGAUGUACCCCAACAAUACAAGGAUCAAGUGCUCAAUCGAAUCAGAUACUACUUUGAUAUCGAUGGGAAUCCCCACCGAGACCUACUUAUGGGGACUUUAUAUUCGGUGAUGGCGGAGCGGUAUAGUGAGCGAAAGACGCUCAGACACAAGCAUUUCA